ensembl:lncRNA
CAGAUUUGUUCAUGAGGGAGGCUUCUGGGUGAGCCCCAUAGAUUGUGACUGACAAGUCAAAGCCGGGCUGUAUUAACUAGUAUUAGCGUUAAAACUAGUAUUAAAAGAUGUUAAGAACAGAAUGUAAUAUUUCAAAUGAAUCUAAAAAACAUCCUCAUUAUCUCUGGCAGCAGUGUGCUGACCGAAUGAGUCAAGUAAUCCACACAUGAAAGAGGAAAGUUUAAAGGAAAAACCCGAACAAAUAAGUGGAGAAACACAAUGAAUGCAUUCACAUAUGCACCAGUUCACAGCAUGCAUACACACAGUAAUAAUUUUUAGCUCAGGGAUGAUUCUCUAUGUGAAUGCUAUGAAUGCAGUCAUGACUUUGAAAUAGGGUCCAAGCACUUAAAGCAGGAGCUUCAAUCUUAAAAACUACUCAAACAGACACUGUUUCAACAGGAACAGCGACUACUGUCCAUUCAUCCCUGUAGCAAAGACAGUAAGUAUCCGAGGACUCAGAAGCUACUUUUAACAGCUAUUUGGAAGGGGGUUACCAUAACAGGUAACUCUGCUUAUUUGAUUUGGAUGCCCUUCCUGACCCAGCCCCGAUGGGAUUUGGGGUCAGGUCCUACCACGAUUGAACUAGGGAGCUUUUCCUUGUUAGCAAAUGUGUAAACUACCAUAUUAUGGAGUCACUCUUCAAGUGAUUGAGAAAUGUCACUGUAAUCAGACUGUCAUCAAGAAUAAUCCGUUGACAGAUUCAUGGAGGGAACUCUAUAUUGUGGUUGAGGGCAUACACACAUCAGAGAGUUCAAAGGUGCAAAAUCCACAAGACAAAGGAUGGCAAAGAUGGGGGAAAAUGUAGAGUCAAAUGGGCAUACUGCAUAUUCCAAAGAGUGAGUGAGUGGAUGGUGUGCACCUGAGAACUGCUACAGUCAUGGAAUCUGGUGGCUCUGAUAUCCUGUGGGGGGCUUUUUAAUGGCAUGGUUUGCGUUUACUUUGUCCUCUUACAAGGAAGGGUCACUGCAGGUCAAUAAAUGGGUGCUCUGAGGAUUUUAGCAAAAAUUACAUUUCAGACUGGUGAUGUAUCCAGUGUGUACCCUGUAUGUCAUCCUAUUACAGAUGAGAUAGACUCAAGUUCACCUGUGACCCUUGACUCUUGACCCUGAACUGAAAAAGCAGUUAAGAAGAUCUAAAAAGGUGGAUGUAAGGAUGGAUGGUCGUUUUUGGUGAGCAGUCUGAUGGCCUGAUGGAAGAAGCUGUCUCUCAGUCUGCU